GAGUGGAUGCAGGGCCUGUGCCCAACAGACCAAGAAGGCGAGUGUGGGUGGAUUCUGGGGUGGCCUCUUAGGCUGGUACACAGCGGAUCCCGACAGGUAUCUGCUGUUGUCGUGCCCAGAUUUGAGCUGUGCUAGCUUUCCUACACAGUGCGGGGCACCGAGAGCAUAGGAGGCAGGCGAUGGGGCAGCAAGGGCUGGGAGAUGACUGUGAGAUAGCGCACUACCUUGGCAGCUGAGGUGGCUCAGUCGUGAGGAAGCCAAAGGGGUACAGUCUCCCUCCUCUUGGAUGUGGAGACAGGAGCUGCCAGCUUUGAUCUGGUGUGAGCUCAGUGACAGCCUGAGCCCAAGGCCUCACCUGCCAGGUCACAGCUACCCAGGACUCCCCUGCCUAGCAUCAGCCUCCUCCACCCGGAUGGAGCUCCUGUGGAUAGCUCUCGCCUUGCUGGAGAUGAUUCAGACCCAGGCCCAAGGCCCAAGAAGGCAUGGAGGGCUCCUCCCUCAAGUCCCAGGCCCCAACUUGCCUUUUCACAAGAUCUGUCUCCUGCCCAGCCAGGGGAAGGAGAGGGUGACUGGGAACCCAGGCCGGGAAGGACCAGUUCGCAUGGGUAGGGGCAAGGAAUGGGGUGCCCAGCCCAAUGCCAGCCCUACAAAGACUUCACAUUCUCCAGUGGUCCUCGGGACCCUCCAGGGUCCCGCCCUGUGAGCCUCGGAAGAUCAGCCAAGCCAGUCCUUCCUGCCUGAAAGCCAAGUAAGGCCAGGAGACCACCGUCAGAACUGGUUGGCCACGGCAGACCCAACCCUCACCAUGUCCCAGUUAGGCUUGUGACCCUCCUCACGGGCACUCAACCUCGUCUGCCCCCAGCACAAAUAAACACCUGUCACAGA